CUCGAGAAGAUUUAUUUUGUGUCUCAUACAACUUAUACUAGUUGUAUGAGACUCAUUUUUGUCUUACAAAUUUGUGGACCCCAAUAUACUUCUGGUCUACAGAAAUCUGGGUCCAUAAAACUGUGAGACAAAAAAGUUGCUCAUACAACUAGUAUCAGUUGUAUGAGACUCAAAAUAAAAUUUUUCGUCUCUCUCACUCCACGCAGAGACGAGUUUCCAUUCCCAGAAGACAUCAACUCACCUAGAAAGGGGCUUACAGUCUUCAGGAUCCAGCAGUACUAUGUUACGCCAGUCAUGGCAAAGUUUUCGACUAUCAUUCAGAGUAAUAUACUUCAUAUCUCCUAUCUACGCAUAUGAAAAGGCUAAAGGAAGACUAGUUACUCAUAAUGAGGUAUUUGAGGAAAUCCACAUGAAGAAGUUGAAGGAUAGAAUAAAAACGACUUGAGUCGAUCCGCGCGCGGAGACAACCCAUGUAAAAUUAAUGAGCUUUAUUUUAAACUAGCUUAUUUGUUGGUAACUUAUUAAUGAGCUUUUCAAAAUGCAAAGAGCUCCAAAAACUGUAAAAGUCUCAUUAGUUUUAAGUCUGAGGAUGUGGUGAAUGCUGAGAGCUGUAAGGAGUUUUAAGCUAGUUUAAUAGUACUGCUCAUUAGUACUGCUCUUUCUUCUAAUAGUACUGAUCUUUCUUAAGCCUUCUUCAGAGGCAAAGGAUGAAGUUAAUUUUCUUAUGAGUCCCCUAAAAUGAUGCAUUUGUU